rnacentral:rRNA from 1 species
UACAGAGGUCUCAAGCGUUUGUUCGGAUUCAUUGGGGCGUAAAGGGUGUGUAGGUGGCGCGCUAAGUCGGGUGUGAAAUUUCGGAGCUUAACUCCGAAACUGCAUUCGAUACUGGCGUGCUUGAGGACUGGAGAGGAGACUGGAAUUCAUGGUGUAGCAGUGAAAUGCGUAGAGAUCAUGAGGAAGACCAGUGGCGAAGGCGGGUCUCUGGGCAGUAACUGACGCUGAGGAGCGAAAGCGUGGGGAGCGAACAGG